rfam:Gossypium hirsutum cultivar TM-1 chromosome 3, whole genome shotgun sequence
CACGUCAGCGCGCUUUACUGACGUGGCAACAAAUCGCGCGCUCAUGGCCGCGCUUUGUUGCCACGUUAUCAAAGCGUGCUGACGUGG